UUGUAGUCUCUUUCGGCACAGUCGAGGGUGUCUGAAAAAGAAAAAAAGGGAAACAUGGUCACAUUUAAGGUAUGUUGGUGCUCCACUGGAGUGAUUGUAGAGUGUGAUGUGCGGGCUCCCACUCGUGGUACGCGAAAGAAUCACUGCACAGGCAGGGGGCAGAGCUCCGCGGGUCCCAGAUGCGAAUGGUGCCGUCCGCUGAGCACGAGGCCAGCCGAUGGUGGACAGCGGAAUAUCUUAUUUAAGGUAGCUGGUGACCAUCCUGCGCAGCUGACUCACUGACCGUAGUUGUCGUAAGGAUCUACAUUGAAGUCUGGCAUCUUCCAACACCUUACGCUUCCAUCCAGGCCUCCACUAUAGCAGGAUUCUCC